UACGCACCGAGCUACCCGGAGCGUGACACACGCUCACGGUCCGUAGUGGGGGGAAUAGUCGCGUGGCGGCCUCCGUCGUGGCGGGGUGUACAACGAACCGUCAAACAGAAAGGAAUAGACAGAGAUAGCUGAUCUCUCGCGAGCGCAUGCGUUCUUCUCGAGAUACUACUACUAUUACUGCUACUACUAUUACGUUGUCUCACCCUUCCUGAAAAUGUUACCUGAACUGCGAGGUCAAAUUUUCAAAUUAACCGCCUCUUCGAUUCAACGCAAGCGAAAAGGUCACAGAGGCAGUUAAUGAAAGGAGUCGCGCCUGCGCACUUGUCCAAACUCAACUCGUUCACACAACUACUAUCGAGAAUGUGACACGCAACUUCCUCGAGUGAUCCUCAUUCUGUGUGUCUUUCAAGAUCAAUAGACUAAGUAUUCAUCUUUCGAAGUAUCUGAUGGGCGAUAUGACACUUGUCUACCUAACGUAAUAAUAUUUCAGAAGAUCUUUAAAUCUGUCGAUAAAAAAGCUUUCGAUGUCGAUCGAACUGACAAUCGCUAUAGAGAUAAUUCGAUCCUGAAUUAUUUAUGAACUAGGAGAGAAUCAGUGGGAUUCUGCUAAGACGAUAUAUAUUAAUGAUUACUAAACGACUACGAAAAGUACGAUCUAAUGUUAAUUAAUAAAUCAUACAAAAAAAACCACUAGAGAUCGUCGGAUAGUAUCGAUAACACGUUCCGUAAAUAUGAAAACGUCUAUAAGAUUCCUAUCGCACAGAAACAUACAGGGAAAGAGAAAAAGAUGUAAUAUCUCGAUCGAGAGUUUUGCAAUGUCGAUUGGCUAUCCCGACUUGUAAAAUAUUCAAGGUCGAACGAAUCGAAUUCACGUUCGAAUCUCGGCGAUACAUUCUCUAUUUCUGUUUUUCUUUCUCUCUUUCUCUUUCUAUAGAGAACGUUCUCUCUAGAAAUGCGGUACUCCCAUUAGAUCUCCGAGUAGAUUUUACAUCGCCAGGGUGAGACGGAAAGGAAUCGAAUAGGACGCAUGCGCAUUAUGAUACCGCAUUCGCACACGUAUUCUCCGAGAAAACGCACGUAAGCACGUACGUACGAAACGACGAAGACCGUGAGGGUAGCAAAAGGAAGAGAGAGGACGUCCCUAACCCGGCAAUCACCAGAGACACUUCUGGGAAGGCGUUCCCCUUCUCAAGAGCAAUUUCUCAGUAUCACUGUGAAUACGAGAAAUUGACAAAAGUAACCGUAACUACCUGGUCUCAUUAAUUUGACAUUGGCGUCAUUGUGUCAUUUGUAAA
rnacentral:lncRNA from 1 species